AUUGAACGCUGGCGGAAUGCUUUACACAUGCAAGUCGAACGGCAGCACGGACUUCGGUCUGGUGGCGAGUGGCGAACGGGUGAGUAAUGUAUCGGAACGUGCCCAGUCGUGGGGGAUAACGUAGUGAAAAUUACGCUAAUACCGCAUACGAUCUAUGGAUGAAAGCGGGGGAUCGCAAGACCUCGCGCGAUUGGAGCGGCCGAUAUCAGAUUAGGUAGUUGGUGGGGUAAAGGCCCACCAAGCCAACGAUCUGUAGCUAGUCUGAGAGGACGAGCAGCCACACUGGAACUGAGACACGGUCCAGAGUCCUACGGGAGGCAGCAGUGGGGAAUUUUGGACAAUGGGCGAAAGCCUGAUCCAGCCAUUCCGCGUGCAGGAUGAAGGCCCUCGGGUUGUAAACUGCUUUUGUACAGAACGAAAAGGUUUCUACUAAUACUAGGAGCUCAUGACGGUACUGUAAGAAUAAGCACCGGCUAACUACGUGCCAGCAGCCGCAGUAA
rnacentral:rRNA from 1 species